rnacentral:rRNA from 1 species
AUUGAACGCUGGCGGCAUGCCUUACACAUGCAAGUCGAACGGCAGCACGGGUGCUUUCACCUGGUGGCGAGUGGCGAACGGGUGAGUAAUACAUCGGAACAUGUCCUGUAGUGGGGGAUAGCCCGGCGAAAGCCGGAUUAAUACCGCAUACGAUCUACGGAUGAAAGCGGGGGACCUUCGGGCCUCGCGCUAUAGGGUUGGCCGAUGGCUGAUUAGCUAGUUGGUGGGGUAAAGGCCUACCAAGGCGACGAUCAGUAGCUGGUCUGAGAGGACGACCAGCCACACUGGGACUGAGACACGGCCCAGACUCCUACGGGAGGCAGCAGUGGGGAAUUUUGGACAAUGGGCGAAAGCCUGAUCCAGCAAUGCCGCGUGUGUGAAGAAGGCCUUCGGGUUGUAAAGCACUUUUGUCCGGAAAGAAAUCCUUGGCCCUAAUACGGUCGGGGGAUGACGGUACCGGAAGAAUAAGCACCGGCUAACUACGUG